UGCGCAGGCGGUUUUGUAAGACAGAGGUGAAAUCCCCGGGCUCAACCUGGGAACUGCCUUUGUGACUGCAAGGCUAGAGUACGGCAGAGGGGGAUGGAAUUCCGCGUGUAGCAGUGAAAUGCGUAGAUAUGCGGAGGAACACCGAUGGCGAAGGCAAUCCCCUGGGCCUGUACUGACGCUCAUGCACGAAAGCGUGGGAGCAAACA
rnacentral:rRNA from 1 species